GGGCCGUCAGCUCCGCGGUGCCCCGACGCGGGCUCCGGGGCUGAUGGCGCCGGUCGAUGCUGGAGAGAAAUUCUAGAACUCAGACCCCCGGGUGUGGGGCGCCAGUCACCCCAGGGGAGACGGCCGCGAGCCGCCGAAAGCGCAGGGCGAGACAGGGAAGACUGGGUGUGAUGAUGGUGGUGGUGCUCUGUGUGUUACAGCUAAUCCCUUCCUUUCCCAGCCAUAACCGUUCCGUAUCGAGUGGCUUCGUGUUCAUCUCCCCGAGACAGCUUUAUGCUAAAAAGCCAUGAUGGUGGGUGCAGGCUUUCCUCCGUCCCAACAAACCAGAAAAUGAUCAUUUUAAGUAAAUGGGUUUUUUUUAAAUGCCUUUCAAAAGUAAGGUCCCCCACUAAAAGUUGGUAUGGUUCAUAGAUGAGCAUGCAACGUAUACUGGCUUUAUUAAUCAGAUGAUUACGGUUGGCGUUGUCCUUACAUUUGCGUAUAAUAAAUGAUUUGGGAUAGACAGAAAGCACACAUUAAAAUACACGUAAUAUUUUAUCCCAAAUGUUUUCUGAUCAUUUUUUUUUAAAGAUUUAUUUAUUUAUCUGAAAGAGUUACAGAGAGGCAGAGGCACGGGGUGGGGGUGGGGGUGUCUUCCAUCCACUGGUUUACUCUCCAGUUGGCCACAACGGCCGGAGCUGUGCCUAUCUGAAGCCAGGAGCCAAGAGCUUCUUCCAGGUCUCCCAUGCGGGUGCAGGGGCCCAAAGACUUAGGCCAUCCUCUACUGCUGUCCCAGGCCAUAGCAGAGAGCUGAAUUGUAAGUGGAGCAGCCUGGACUCGAACAGGCGCCCAUAUGGGAUGCCGGCACUGCAGGCAUCGGCUUUACCCGCUACGCCACAGCGCUGGCCACAGUGUUUUCUGUUUCUUUACCCUUUGCAUUUGUCUCACGUACAAUCGGAAACAGCCCUACUCUAUGGCUAAGAAAUUUCCUUUACAAAUAGUAAAAUCAUGGAGUGCUGGCCUACAGGAAUUAACCAAGAAGUUACUAUGCAUUUUAAGAUCUUUAUGACAUCCCUCUGUAGUCAGAAAAUCUUUGAAUUCCCAAGAAUAUACUUGAUAUUGACCAUUAUACCAUUUUAUGUUCCAUGUUAAGAAAAUAUCAGUGCAAUAAACUACUUCCAGAUACAGAACAUAUGCCUUUUUUAUUGGCGCGUGUAAGAGAACGCAUUCAGCCUUUGGUUUUCCAAGUUAAACACAAAACUGAGCAUGACAUUUUAUGUUAAAACACUUGAAGCAGACCUCACCCAGGUAUUGUGUGAGUUAAGAAAACAAUUUGUUUAAAAAAAAAUUUUUUUUUUAAUAAAGCAGUUUGUAGGGGCAGGCAUUUAGCACAGUGGUUAAGACCUUGCCCGGGACGCCUGCAUCCUAAUCUGACGUGUCUGCUUCCAUUCCUGGCACCAGUUCUAAUCCAGCUCCCUGAAAGUGUGUACCCUGGGAGUCAGCACAUGCUGGCUUGAACACCGCUCAAGUCCCUGCCACCCACAUGAAAGGCCCAGAACGAGUUCCCAGCUGACUGCAGCUCAGCCCAGCUAUGGCUGUUGCAGGCAUUUGGGAAAUGUGCCAGGAGAUGGAAGACACCUGUCUCAGGUCUGUCAGCCUGUCAGUUAAAAUAGAGAAGAAAAAAGGCACAUUGUGGAUUUACUGCUAUUUAAAAUCCCAUCAACCUGGGGCCAGAGCUAUGGCUCACUUGGUUAAUCCUCUGCCCACGGUGCUGGCAUCCCAUAUGGGCGCCGGGUUCUAGUCCCGGUUGUUCCUCUUACAGUCCAGCUCUCUGCUGUGACCUGGGAAGGCAGUGGAGGAUGGCCCGGGUGCUUGGGCCCCUGUGCCUACAUGGGAGACAAGGAAGAAGCACCUGGCUCCUGGCUUCGGAUCAGCGUAGCUCUGGCCGUAGCAGCCAUUUGGUGAGUGAACCAACCGAGGGAAGACCUUUCUCUCUGUCUCUCACUAUCUAUAACUCUACCUGUCAAAUAAAUAUUAAUAUUAAAUAUUAAAAAAUCCCAUCAACCUGUCAGAAUGUAUUAAAUGUCAUAAGCGGGGCAAUGUCAGUGUGGUAUAUACAGUGAGUCUUACAGCACUAGUGUCAGGAAGACUUGGAGGCAGAGUCACACAGAACACUCCUCAGAGUCUCAACAACUACAGCUUCUUGGCCAAUAAUGGAAAAAUCAAAGUUAUUUUCACUUGGAUAAUGGAUAUUCCCAGUAAGUCUAAAAAGUUGACAUUCUGAAGUUAUGGGGAGAAAAAAGUGUACCAAAGGACUUAAAGGUGACCAACUUGUAAAGGUAAACAGCGAAAAUAGCUUUUAGCAGAGAUAAAAUGUCCAUAUGUCUGCACAGAUAAAUAGGUAAUUCGUACUCUUAUGACUCAAGAUGACCUACAUCAGGGUAAUAAUACCAGUUCAUCAAACAGAAGCUUUGCAUUUCUUUUCUAUAUUUCUUUUCUCAUGCAUGUGCCACCCCCAGAUAUAACACUUCUCCCAAGGAAAUUCAUGCACAUGAAAAGGAUAGAAUACUUACGUCAGAGGCACAGGCAGGCCCAAGAGCUAUGGCAAAAGCAACUGAGAACCCAAAGGACAUUGUUUGUCAGUGAGUAAGAUUAGCCAGUAGUGAUUUAGCUAUUCCAUGUAAAAAAAAUCUAGAAAGCACAAGAAAGGAAAGUGUAAAUUAACCCCCCCACACACACCAAGUCCUGUACCCAUAAGCAACCACUACUGAAAUCCUUCCAGACAUUGUCAUAUAUUUUAGUUCUUCAGGGUCAGUAAAUAAUAGGCUCUAUGCUUAGUACUCCAUUCUUUGUACCAAAAUUUAGUUUGGUAUUGUUGCACAUUUGUUUCUAAUUUUAACAGUUGUGUACAAAUCUACAAUGAAGAGAGGUAGUUUUAAAACUGCAUAUAAUGUAUUGUUCUGUCCUAUUCUUUAAGUUAGAACCUGUCCCAUAUCUCAUUUAGCACACUGUAUUAGCACACAAGGAGUUAAGAGGACUUAGGUCAGGGAUUCUCACUCUGUAGGCCUCUGGAGACUAGCAUGUUUCCAUUUCCAGCCACUUCUAUUGGCCAGAAUCCUGUCUCAUGACUAACCUUAACUGCAAGGGAGGCUGGGUAAUGUAGUCUUCCUGCCUGUCCAGGAAUAAUAAAUGGCACUGAUGGCAUUUUGCCAAUUUCUGCCAUUUGUUGUUAAAUUCUACAAAUUUUACAGGAUAAUAUAAAACAAAAAUUCCAGAAAAAUCUUUACUCAAUAGAUACCUGUUGAAUUUUGGAUUAUUAACUUCAUGUGAAAAGAAUGGUGUUUUUAAGAAGCAAACUCUUAGGGCUAGCACUGUGGCAAAGCAAGAAAAGCCACUGCUUACAACACCAGCAUCCUAUAUGGGGGCCAGUUUGUGUCCCAGCUGUUCCCUUUCUAAUCCAGCUCCCUGCUAAUGGCCUAGAAAAAAAGCAGUAGAAGAUGGCCCAAAUGUUUGGGCCCUUGCUACCAACAUGAGAGAUGGAGAAGAAUCUCCUGGCUCCUGCCUUUGACCUGGCCCAGUCCUAGAUGUUGCAGCACUCUCUGGAGUGAACCAGCAAAUGGAAGCUUCCAGCUGUGACUCUGAUAUAAUGGACAUUAAAAGCUGACCACAACAAUGCAUUUCGUUUACGUCUGUAUCUACCCUCAAAACACUAACAAACACUUUAUAUGCAAAGCUAACACUAGUGGAAUUAGUCACAAUUGAAACAGAGAUUUGGAGAAGAGGUCUUCGUGUACCAGGAUAGCUUGGGGAAACUUCUGGGGGUUUUUUUGUUUGUUUUGUUUUGUUUUUAUUAUUAUUUACGUAUUUAUUUGCAAGGCAGAAGUACAGAGAAGGAAGGAGAAAGAUAGAUCUUCCAUCCGCUAGUUCAUUCCCUGAAUGGCUACAAUGGCCAAGGCUGGAGUCAGACCAGAGCCAGGAGCUUCUUCCAGGUUCCCCCAGGUGCAGGAAGUACAUAUGGAAGCAAGAAAGUACUGAAAUAUGGGGAAGUUUCCAACAAAUUAAGGCUGUCACAUUCCUAUACACAAAGAAGGAGCUCCUAAUCACUGAUUUACUCCCCAAACGCCUGCAACAGCUGAAGUUGAGCCAAGUUGUAGCUGGGAAGCAGGAACUCAAUCCAGGUGGAUGCAAGCAUGCCAGCACACAAGCACCUGAGCCGUCACUGGCUGCCUCCCAGAUUGUUGUCAGCAGGAGGCUGGCAUCAGACGUGGAGCUGGGAACUCGGACCCAGGAGCUCUGACAUGGGAUGAGGCUACCCCAAUUGGCCUCUUAACCACUGCACCAAAUACCUGCCCCAAUAAUUGCUAUUCUAUCACACUUUAACUUCUCACUAUUAAGAAAAAAAAAAAAAAAAAAGGCCGGCACCGCGGCUCACUAGGCUAAUCCUCCGCUUUGCGGCGCCGGCACACCGGGUUCUAGUCCCGGUCUGGGCGCCGGAUUCUUUCCCGGUUGCCCCUCUUCCAGGCCAGCUCUCUGCUGUGGCCCGGGAGUGCAGUGGAGGAUGGCCCAAGUGCUUGGGCCCAGCACCCCAUGGGAGACCAGGAGAAGCACCUGGCUCCUGCCAUCGGAUCAGCGUGGUGUGCCGGCCGCAGCGUGCCAGCCGCAGCGGCCAUUGG